GCCAGAAAGAGUUCAGGAGGAGAAAGUGUUGGCUAUAAUAGAAAUAAUGAUACUGAAAUCAAAAAUGGUUAAAAACAGAAUAAUGAGGAUUUCUAUCCUCCUAUUGGAUGUGUAGAUUACAUCUCACAUUCCAGUGUUCCUAAUGGAGGUGUAGAUUACAUCUCACAUUCCAGUGUUCCUAAUGGAGGUGUAGAUUACAUCUCACAUUCCAGUGUUCCUAAUGGAGGUGUAGAUUACAUCUCACAUUCCAGUGUUCCUAAUGGAGGUGUAGAUUACAUCUCACAUUCCAGUGUUCCUAAUGGAGGUGUAGAUUACAUCUCACAUUCCAGUGUUCCUAAUGGAGGUGUAGAUUACAUCUCACAUUCCAGUGUUCCUAAUGGAGGUUUAGAUUACAUCUCACAUUCCAGUGUUCCUAAUGGAGGUGUAGAUUACAUCUCACAUUCCAGUGUUCCUAAUGGAGGUGUAGAUUACAUCUCACAUUCCAGUGUUCCUAUCGGAGGUGUAGAUUACAUCUCACAUUCCAGUGUUCCUAAUGGAGGUGUAGAUUACAUCUCACAUUCCAGUGUUCCUAAUGGAGGUGUAGAUUACAUCUCACAUUCCAGUGUUCCUAAUGGAGGUUUAGAUUACAUCUCACAUUCCAGUGUUCCUAAUGGUCACUAUAGCUUCCAGACUCUACUGGAUUGGCUGUUGUUACCUAGCACUGCCUAGCUUGCUAGUACCCACACGAGGACGAAGACAGCCUGGUGAGGAGUCCUAGUUCAAAACGUACAGCUAGGUGUAAUGACGAAAGGCGCUUGUGAAUUUGACAGCUCUAACGCAGUUUCACCAACAACGUCAAAACGUCAGGUAUUCGGACGCCGGCUGAAGCGGAUCAGAUUGAAUCGGGCUCUAAAGUGAAAGUUUGACUUUAAGGAAGUUGGGAUUGAACAAUUGAACAAUUGCCUGUAAGAAUCAGUGGUGUGACAAUGACAAUAACAAAUAAUAAAUAAAGCUGUGUAAGGAGAAAGUAAAUCACUGAUGGAAAAAAAUAAAUAAAAAUAAAGAAAAUAUUUCAAUACAACAAAAUGUUUCGUCUUCAUGUCCUGUCUCAUAUGAGGAGGUUCAAUGUCAAAUCAAAUCACAUUCAAUUUAUCAAUGAACUCAUCUUACACCAUGAGACCAGAAUGGAACCUGUGCAGGAGCCCUCCUGUAGGUUUUAAUGCUAACCCUCCUGUAGGUUUUAAUGCUAACCCUCCUGUAGGUUUUAAUGCUAACCCUCCUGUAGGUUUUAAUGCUAACCCUCCUGUAGGUUUUAAUGCCAACCCUCCUGUAGGUUUUAAUGCUAACCCUCCUGUAGGUUUUAAUGCCAACCCUCCUGUAGGUUUUAAUGCUAACCCUCCUGUAGGUUUUAAUGCUAACCCUCCUGUAGGUUUUAAUGCUAACCCUCCUGUAGGUUUUAAUGCUAACCCUCCUGUAGGUUUUAAUGCUAACCCUCCUGUAGGUUUUAAUGCUAACCCUCCUGUAGGUUUUAAUGCUAACCCUCCUGUAGGUUUUAAUGCUAACCCUCCUGUAGGUUUUAAUGCUAACCCUCCUGUAGGUUUUAAUGCCAACCCUCCUGUAGGUUUUAAUGCUAACCCUCCUGUAGGUUUUAAUGCUAACCCUCCUGUAGGUUUUAAUGCUAACCCUCCUGUAGGUUUUAAUGCCAACCCUCCUGUAGGUUUUAAUGCUAACCCUCCUGUAGGUUUUAAUGCCAACCCUCCUGUAGGUUUUAAUGCUAACCCUCCUGUAGGUUUUAAUGCCAACCCUCCUGUAGGUUUUAAUGCCAACCCUCCUGUAGGUUUUAAUGCUAACCCUCCUGUAGGUUUUAAUGCUAACCCUCCUGUAGGUUUUAAUGCUAACCCUCCUGUAGGUUUUAAUGCCAACCCUCCUGUAGGUUUUAAUGCUAACCCUCCUGUAGGUUUUAAUGCUAACCCUCCUGUAGGUUUUAAUGCCAACCCUCCUGUAGGUUUUAAUGCCAACCCUCCUGUAGGUUUUAAUGCUAACCCUCCUGUAGGUUUUAAUGCUAACCCUCCUGUAGGUUUUAAUGCUAACCCUCCUGUAGGUUUUAAUGCCAACCCUCCUGUAGGUUUUAAUGCUAACCCUCCUGUAGGUUUUAAUGCCAACCCUCCUGUAGGUUUUAAUGCUAACCCUCCUGUAGGUUUUAAUGCUAACCCUCCUGUAGGUUUUAAUGCUAACCCUCCUGUAGGUUUUAAUGCCAACCCUCCUGUAGGUUUUAAUGCUAACCCUCCUGUAGGUUUAAAUGCCAACCCUCCUGUAGGUUUUAAUGCUAACCCUCCUGUAGGUUUUAAUGCCAACCCUCCUGUAGGUUUUAAUGCCAACCCUCCUGUAGGUUUAAAUGCCAACCCUCCUGUAGGUUUAAAUGCCAACCCUCCUGUAGGUUUUAAUGCUAACCCUCCUGUAGGUUUUAAUGCUAACCCUCCUGUAGGUUUUAAUGCCAACCCUCCUGUAGGUUUUAAUGCUAACCCUCCUGUAGGUUUAAAUGCCAACCCUCCUGUAGGUUUUAAUGCUAACCCUCCUGUAGGUUUUAAUGCCAACCCUCCUGUAGGUUUUAAUGCCAACCCUCCUGUAGGUUUUAAUGCUAACCCUCCUGUAGGUUUUGGCUCUAACCCUCCUGUAGGUUUUGGCUCUAACCAUCCUGUAGGUUUUAAUGCUAACCCUCUUGUAGGUUUUAAUGCUAACCAUCCUGUAGGUUUUAAUGCUAACCCUCCUGUAGGUUUAAAUGCUAACCCUCCUGUAGGUUUAAAUGCUAACCCUCCUGUAGGUUUAAAUGCUAACCCUCCUGUAGGUUUUAAUGCCAGACCUCCUGUAGGUUUUAAUGCUAACCCUCCUGUAGGUUUUGGCUCUAACCCUCCUGUAGGUUUUAAUGCCAACCCUUCUGUAGGUUUUAAUGCCAGACCUCCUGUAGGUUUUAAUGCUAACCCUCCUGUAGGUUUUGGCUCUAACCCUCCUGUAGGUUUUAAUGCCAACCCUCCUGUAGGUUUUGGCUCUAACCCUCCUGUAGGUUUUAAUGCUAACCCUCCUUAAUGCUAACCCUCCUUAAUUCUAACCCUCCUGUAGGUUUUAAUGCUAACCCUCCUUAAUGCUAACCCUCCUGUAGGUUUUAAUGCCAACCCUCCUGUAGGUUUUGGCUCUAACCCCAGUUGUAACUAACCUGAUUCAGCUCAUCAACCAGAUAAUUAUUGGAAUCAGAACCGCUAGAUUAUGGUUGG